UACGAAGGGUGCAAGCGUUACUCGGAAUUACUGGGCGUAAAGGGUGCGUAGGUGGUUUGUUAAGUCUGCUGUGAAAUCCCCGGGCUCAACCUGGGAAUGGCAGUGGAUACUGGCAAGCUAGAGUGCGGUAGAGGGUAGUGGAAAUUCCCGGUGUAGCAGUGAAAUGCGUAGAGAUCGGGAGGAACACCAGUGGCGAAGGCGGCUACCUGGACCAGCACUGACACUGAAGCACGAAAGCGUGGGGAGCAAACAGG
rnacentral:rRNA from 1 species